AGUAUAUAUGCGAAAUUUGAAAAGAUGCUUAUAACGCUUAUCAUGUUUUGAUUUUGAGCGGCAGCACGGGGAAAUAUCACCUUAAUUUUUUAUCGAUUUAUUUGUCAGGAUGGAAAUAUAAUGUGCUAUAGCUUCCGCGAUAGCCAGAAAAAAAGCCAUUGUUGGCCACAACAUUGGCAGUCUCUCCUCCAGGCCGGCAUCGAUGCCAGGCGUGCUGCCUCCUCAUCAGCCUAUCAAGAUCAGCAGAGUGACAAAUAUUGUACAGCAAUGUGAGGAGCGGCGGCAAAGAGGGCAGCCAUCUUCGAUUCGCUUUUUUUGACCUGACAAGAUACAUUACCCC